rnacentral:rRNA from 1 species
GAAUAUUGGGCAAUGGGCGAAAGCCUGACCCAGCAACGCCGCGUGAGGGAAGAAGGUCUUCGGAUUGUAAACCUCUGUCCUUGGUGACGAAAAAAAUGACGGUAGCCAAGGAGGAAGCCCCGGCUAACUACGUGCCAGCAGCCGCGGUAAUACGUAGGGGGCAAGCGUUGUCCGGAAUUACUGGGCGUAAAGGGUGCGUAGGCGGUUGUUUAAGUUGGAUGUGAAAUCCCCGGGCUUAACCUGGGGGCUGCAUUCAAAACUGGGCAACUAGAGUAUGGGAGAGGAAAGCGGAAUUCCUAGUGUAGCGGUGAAAUGCGUAGAUAUUAGGAGGAACACCAGUGGCGAAGGCGGCUUUCUGGACCAUAACUGACGCUGAUGCACGAAAGCGUGGGGAGCAAACAG